CUGCUUAACGGAAAUGAAACCCAUAUAGGUCCAUAAUAGGUUGGAUGUUUCUACCGGUUACCGUAAACAACCGCGCUAUGAGUUUCCCGCAUCUGGGG
rnacentral:ncRNA from 2 species